AGCCUAACAUGGUUGCAGCAAUAGCUUCGGUGCACCCAGAGGUAACAGUAACUUCCUUCUCAGGGUCAAUCACAAGUCCGGUAUCCUUCUUGAAGCGAGCAGCUAUGGCGUUGUUAAAGUCUGGAACCCCAUAUCCUCGAGCAUAUUGGUUUUUCCCAUCUUUAAUGGCUUGAAUUGCCGCUUCUUUUACAAAAUCUGGACCAUCAAAGUUGGGGAACCCUUGGCCAAGGUUUAUUGCUCCAUGCUUGAUUGCAAGCAUACUCAUCUGAGUAAAAAUCGUAGUCUUGAACUUCUCCAAUCGCUUUGCAACC
rnacentral:lncRNA from 1 species